rnacentral:rRNA from 1 species
AUUGAACGCUGGCGGCAUGCUUUACACAUGCAAGUCGAACGGCAGCGCGGGCUUCGGCCUGGCGGCGAGUGGCGAACGGUUGAGUAAUGCAUCGGAACGUGCCCAGUAGUGGGGGAUAGCCCGGCGAAAGCCGGAUUAAUACCGCAUACGACCUGAGGGUGAAAGCGGGGGUCCGAAAGGCCUCGCGCUAUUGGAGCGGCCGAUGUCGGAUUAGCUAGUUGGUGGGGUAAAGGCUUACCAAGGCGACGAUCCGUAGCUGGUCUGAGAAGACGACCAGCCACACUGGGACUGAGACACGGCCCAGACUCCUACGGGAGGCAGCAGUGGGGAAUUUUGGACAAUGGGGGCAACCCUGAUCCAGCCAUGCCGCGUGCGGGAAGAAGGCCUUCGGGUUGUAAACCGCUUUUGUUCGGGAAGAAAGCCUCUGGGCUAAUACCCCGGGGGGAUGACGGUACCGGAAGAAUAAGCACCGGCUAACUACGUG